GGAAGUCUUCCUUGCGGAGUUGGCGCCAGCUAGCUCUUGAACAGCUGGAUGAGCAAGAUGGUGAUGCAGAACAAAGCAACGGAAAGAUGAACGGUAGCACCUUAAAUAAAGAUGAAUCAAAGGAAGAAAGAAAAGAAGAGGAGGAAUUAAAUUUUAAUGAAGAUAUUCUGUGUCCACAUGGUAAGCUAGAAGCAUAAAUGAAUUCUGUUUUAUUAUCCUUUUUUUUACUUUUAGCUUCUACUGCCUGGCUUUCAUGCCAGUAUCUCUCACAUCUUACCUGGGAAAAAUUUUUUUUAAUAGAAUUUCCCCAUAUUUAGAGGAAAUCAUUGGAAAAGAAACUUCUUGUCACUUGUUCCAUUGAAGUGCUUUUGAAUUUGAAGUAUUGAAUUUCAGUUGUUUCCCAUGACUGUCAUUGUCCAAGUUAAACACUUUGAGAAUAGUGCUC
rnacentral:sRNA from 1 species